rnacentral:rRNA from 1 species
UACGGAGGGGGCUAGCGUUGUUCGGAAUUACUGGGCGUAAAGCGCGCGUAGGCGGACCCGCAAGUCGGGGGUGAAAGCCCGAGGCUCAACCUCGGAACUGCCUUCGAUACUGCGGGUCUCGAGUCCGGGAGAGGUGAGUGGAAAUCCUAGUGUAGAGGUGAAAUUCGUAGAUAUUAGGAAGAACACCAGUGGCGAAGGCGGCUCACUGGCCCGGUACUGACGCUGAGGCGCGAAAGCGUGGGGAGCAAACAGG